UAGCUAUGUUGUGGACAUGAAUUUAAGAGAUCCUUAAAACGCUCCCAACAUUGGAAGAAGGUCUUAUCCGCUUUGUGCAAAAAAUUUAUGAUUGCUUUUCUUAAGGUA